rnacentral:rRNA from 1 species
UAAUACGUAGGGGGCAAGCGUUGUCCGGAUUUAUUGGGCGUAAAGAGCUCGUAGGCGGUUCCGUAAGUCGUGAAGUCAAAUCUCUGGGCUCAACCCAGAAUCGCUUCCGAUACUGCGGUGACUGGAGUCCGGUAGGGGAGUGUGGAAUUCCUGGUGUAGCGGUGAAAUGCGCAGAUAUCAGGAGGAACACCAACAGCGAAGGCAGCACUCUGGGCCGGUACUGACGCUGAGGAGCGAAAGCAUGGGGAGCGAACAGGAUUAGAUACCCUGGUAGUCCAUGCCGUAAACGUUGGGCACUAGGUGUGGGGAGGAAUCAACCCUUUCCGCGCCGUAGCUAACGCAUUAAGUGCCCCGCCUGGGGAGUACGGCCGCAAGGCUA